rnacentral:rRNA from 1 species
AUUGAACGCUGGCGGCAGGCUUAACACAUGCAAGUCGAGCGGAGCGGCGGAGGGGGGAGUAAUACCAAGGAAUCGGCCAGGUAGUGGUGGAUAAGGAUAGGAACUGGGCGCUGAUACUGAAUCCUAUCAGCUGAGCCUAGGUCGGAUUUGCUAUUGGGUGGGGUAAAGGCAUACCAAGGCGACGGUCCGUAACUGGACUGAGAGGAUGAGCAGCCACACUGGAACUGAUACACGGUCCAGACUCCCACGGGAGGCAGCAGUGGGGAAUAUUGCACAAUGGGCGAAAGCCUGAUCCAGCCAUGCCGCGUGUGUGAAGAAGGUCUUCGGAUUGUAAAGCACUUUCAGUUGUGAGGCGUUACCAGCAGAAGAAGCACCGGCUAACUUCGUGCCAGCAGCCGCGGUAAUUC